UACGUAGGGAGCAAGCGUUGUCCGGAAUUACUGGGUGUAAAGGGAGCGUAGGCGGGAUGGCAAGUUGGGUGUUAAAUCUACCGGCUCAACUGGUAGUCGCACUCAAAACUGCUAUUCUUGAGUGAAGUAGAGGCAGGCGGAAUUCCUAGCGUAGCGGUGAAAUGCGUAGAUAUUAGGAGGAACACCAGUGGCGAAGGCGGCCUGCUGGGCUUUUACUGACGCUGAGGCUCGAAAGUGUGGGGAGCAAACAGG
rnacentral:rRNA from 1 species